rfam:Homo sapiens chromosome 14, GRCh38 reference primary assembly.
GCUGGGCAUGGUGGCGGGUGCCUGUAGUCCCAGCUACUGGGGGGCUGAGGCAGGAGGAUCGCUUGAACCCAGGAGGCGGAGGUUGCAGUGAGCAGAGAUCACGCCAUUGCACUCCAGCCUGGGUGACAGAGUGAGACUCUGUCUCAA